rnacentral:lncRNA from 1 species
GGACGCUUGCUAUGUGACGCCACUUGGAAGGGACCCACCUACAGUGGCGGAAGUGGAGUAAGACAUCAUGUUGCCUCAAGUUUAAUUGGAAAUCGCGUGCCUUGUGAAGAAUGGACACUCAGUAGAUGCUUAUUGAUGAACCUGUUGGUUGAGGAUAACUCGCUAACUUUUCUGAGCUUUGUUGGAAAAACUAGACAGGGGUCUCACUAUGUGAUGCAGGAUGAUCUCAAACUCCCUGGCCUCAAGCGAUCCUCCUGCCUUGGUCUCCUAAAGUGCUGGGAUUACAGCAGGUCACUGUAUCUCUAUGCAUUACAGAAAAUGGCUAGUUAAAAACUUGUCAAGAGAUGGGGUUUUACUAUGUUGGAGAAGCUGGUCUCAAACUCCUGGGCUCAAGUCAUCCUCCCGCCUCAGCCUCCCAAAGUGCUGAGAUUACAGACACCCAAACACACUUGGAGGUCAUGUUCAAUAUGAAUACCUCACAGAGAAGGAAAUUUACACACAAGAAGUACAUCUGCAGAAAGCCAGCUGGCAUGUCAACCAUUCAAAAACUCAGGAAGUUCGGGAUAAAGAAGACUCAGGAAGACAAGUAUGAAGCAUAAUCUGCGACGUUCCAUGCGGCAGACGUUAGACACAUACAAGAGAGUUGUUGAAAAGUGGAAUUUAUCUUCAUAUAAACAACACUGAGCUAAAUCUCAAUAUUUCAGAUCUCUAGAACUAUCCAUCAAUGAAAUGGAUUGCAAAUAGAAAGAGUAAUACCAUGUCACUUAAGAAUACAAUCAUGGACGAUGCUGCCACCUGCUGUUGGGGGCCACUGCAGAAGAAAUUCCAGAACACUGGACUGGAGAGCACCUCACUUUCCUUACAGCUCUAAGUUUCUGACUCAGUGACCUGAUUCAGUACCAUAUACACAAAGACCCACUUACACAAAUGACUGUUCUUCACACUAGGCCCAUGGAGACAGGGAUAAAAUUCUGAAUUUGCUCAGAUACCUUCUCUGCUAUUGACAUCUAGGCAUUACACAAUUCAUCUCUUCAUACUUAACCUUUGAAGUUUGCUACUUCUCAGAGAGACUAAUGAGUAGUGAGCAAAUAUCCUGAAGCUGAGAAUGCUUCUACCUCCUCUCAAAACAACAGAAUAUUCAUCAAAACACAGCAGUUCUGCACUUAACUUUAGGCCUUUUCUAACACCUCAUUUCUUGGCAGUAACUGUGGCCAGAAUAGCUCUUUCCACAGAGAAAGGACCUUUUGAAAGGAUAGGGUCUCUAGAUAGAAAAGCAAAUGCCUCAUUCCAGAAGGUCUUCAAGAAGAAAAUGUUGUGGUGAUAACAAACAUAACUGAUUAUAAUCUAUUCUGUGAAAAAAGCUUAUGAAACAGUAGAUGUGUGUAUCUAGUACAUAAGAGCUGAAUGUCAAUAUAUAUAUAUAUAUAGAUAUAUACACACACUCAAAUAAAUAAUAGUUAUCUCUAACUAGAGAAAUUCUAGUUGCCUUAUAUUUUCUUCUUUUUCCUUACUAUAUUUUCUACAAUAAACAUGUGUUUUUAACAAGAAAAAAAAAAAAAAAAAAAAAAAAA